rnacentral:lncRNA from 1 species
GCGCUUUGGAAUCCUGCAGAUAUAAUAAUGAUAAUUAAACAAAACACUCAGAGAAACUGCCAACCCUAGGAUGAAGUAUAUUGUUACUGUGCUUUGGGAUUAAAAUAAGUAACUACAGUUUAUAGAACUUUUAUACUGAUACACAGACACUAAAAAGGGAAAGGGUUUAGAUGAGAAGCUCUGCUAUGCAAUCAAGAAUCUCAGCCACUCAUUUCUGUAGGGGCUGCAGGAGCUCCCUGUAAAGAGAGGUUAUGGAGUCUGUAGCUUCAGGUAACCACUGAUCCACUUCCAGUCACUAUCCAUGAGUUUUUAUUUCCAAAUACAUGAAAUCAUAUGAAUUUCUGGUUUUUCCUGUUGGAGCCCAAGGAGCAAGGGCAGAAUGAAGAACAUGAUGUUUCCUACCGACAGUUACUCAUGACGUCUCCAUCCAGGACUGAGGGGGGCAUCCUUCUCCAUCUAGGACUGGGGGCAUCCUUCUCCAUCCAGUAUUGGGGGUCAUCCUCCUCCAUCCAGGACCUGAGGGGUGUCCUUUUCUGCGCUUCCUUGGAUGGCAGUCUUUCCCUUCAUGUUUAUAGUGACUUACCAUUAAAUCACUGUGCCGUUUUUUCCUAAAAUAUAUGGGGC